AUACUCUGGUUUAUCUUCAGAUUGAAUAAAGCUUUUGCCUUUACUAAAGAUUUCCGUGGAGAGGAACAUCCAUGAGUUUUCCAAAAAAAUGUUUUUGAAGAUCUGCCCCUUGCUGGGCU